GCGGCCUAUCAGCUUGUUGGGGAGGUAACGGCUCACCAAGGCUUCGACGGGUAGCUGGUCUGAGAGGAUGAUCAGCCACACUGGGACUGAGACACGGCCCAGACUCCUACGGGAGGCAGCAGUGGGGAAUCUUGCGCAAUGGGCGAAAGCCUGACGCAGCCACGCCGCGUGCGGGAUGAAGGCCUUAGGGUUGUAAACCGCUUUUAACAGGAACGAAAAUGACGGUACCUGUAGAAUAAGGUGCGGCCAACUACGUGCCAGCAGCCGCGGUGACACGUAGGCACCAAGCGUUGUCCGGAUUUAUUGGGCGUAAAGAGCUCGUAGGCGGUUCAGUAAGUCGGGUGUGAAAACUCUGGGCUUAACCCAGAGACGCCACUCGAUACUAUUGUGACUAGAGUUCGGUAGGGGAGACUGGAAUUCCU
rnacentral:rRNA from 1 species